rnacentral:rRNA from 1 species
GACGAACGCUGGCGGCGUGCCUAACACAUGCAAGUCGAACGGAGUAUUCAGUAAUGGAUACUUAGUGGCGAACGGGUGAGUAACGCGUAGACAACCUGCCUUCCAGAUGGGGACAACACCGCGAAAGUGGUGCUAAUACCGAAUGUUGUAAUGCUGUUGCAUGACAGAAUUACUAAAGAUGGCCUCUAUAUAAAAGCUAUCGCUGGAAGAUGGGUCUGCGUCUGAUUAGCUAGUUGGUGAGGUAACAGCUCACCAAGGCAACGAUCAGUAGCCGGUCUGAGAGGAUGAACGGCCACACUGGGACUGAGACACGGCCCAGACUCCUACGGGAGGCAGCAGUGGGGAAUCUUCCGCAAUGGACGAAAGUCUGACGGAGCAACGCCGCGUGAGUGAAGAAGGUUUUCGGAUCGUAAAGCUCUGUCGUUUGGGACGAACGUGGGAUGUGUGAAUAAUGCAUCCUAAUGACGGUACCAAAGGAGGAAGCCACGGCUAACUACGUGCCAGCCGCCGCAGUAAUAC